rnacentral:rRNA from 1 species
AAUGAACGCUGGCGGCGCGCCUAAUACAUGCAAGUCGAGCGAGAAGACGUAGCAAUACGUUUGUAAAGCGGCGAACGGGUGAGGAAUACAUGGGUAACCUACCCUCGAGUGGGGAAGUAACUAGCCGAAGGUUAGCUAAUACCGCGUACGCUCCUUGGACUUCGGUUCAGGGAGGAAAGCGAUACCGUGGGUAUCGCGCUCUUGGUUGGGCUCAUGUCCUAUCAGCUUGUU